UACAGAGGUCUCAAGCGUUGUUCGGAUUCAUUGGGCGUAAAGGGUGCGUAGGCGGCGAGGUAAGUCAGAUGUGAAAUCCCGGGGCUAACCCCGGAACUGCAUUUGAUACUGCUUUGCUUGAGGACUGGAGAGGAGAUCGGAAUUCACGGUGUAGCAGUGAAAUGCGUAGAGAUGUGGAGGAACACCGAUGGCGAAGGCAGCCUCCUGGGCCAGUACUGACGCUCAUGCACGAAAGCGUGGGGAGCAAACAGG
rnacentral:rRNA from 1 species